ensembl:lncRNA TEKT4P2 tektin 4 pseudogene 2
GCCCACUUCGCCAUUUUCCUCCGGAAGUGCGGAUCCCAGCGGCGGUCGUGUAGCUGAGCAGGCCUGGGGCUUGGUUCUAUGUCCCUGUAGCUAUGUUUCCAGUGUCCUCUGGGUGUUUCCAAGAGCAACAAGAAACGAAUAAAUCUCUGCCCCGCAGCGCCUCCACCCCAGAGACCCGGACCAAGUUCACACAGGACAAUCUGUGCCACGCCCAGCGCGAGCGCCUGGACUCGGCCAACCUGUGGGUGCUGGUGGACUGCAUCCUUCGCGACACCUCCGAGGACCUGGGACUCCAGUGUGACGCCGUGAACCUGGCCUUCGGGCGCCGCUGUGAGGAACUGGAGGACGCGCGGCACAAGCUGCAGCACCACCUGCACAAGAUGCUGCGGGAAAUCACAGAUCAGGAACACAACGUGGUGGCACUGAAGGAGGCCAUCAAGGACAAGGAGGAACCUCUGCACAUAGCCCAGACCCGGCUGUAGUUGCUCUCACACCGGCCCAACAUGCAGCUGUGCCGCGAUGCAGCCCAGUUCAGGUACUGCCUGGGCCUCUGAGGCAGUCCCAGGUGCCCCCAUCCACCUCCUCGCUGCGACCCUCUCCAAUAAACACUCCAAUCUCCACACACACAUCCCCCACAGGUGCUGAGAGGGGAGGGAGACUCUGCGGCCACACACAACAUGCAAGCACGCCUUAAACACACAGAUAUAGACAUGACACUGGGCAGGUCAUGGGUCGGGGGCCUCCCCGUGCCAGGGACCUGUGCCCACGUGGUCUCACCCCACCCUGUGCUACCUCAUCUUCCCGGGAGGAAGCUCCUUCAGACAAGGUGAGCUCCUGGAGGCCACGGGGCCAGAGAGGCCAGAGAGGGCCAUUCCCUGCUGCCCUGAGGGUGCUGUCCCCACCUCUGGUGGAAAGUAUGACCUACGCCUGGGCUACAGGCAUAGAUGGGCCGUCCUUUUGUUUCCCUUGUUAACGGAUGCCUGGUGGCCCCUUCUGAGCCUAAGUACCUUUCUUCCUUCCCUGCCCCUCAGUUCCUUCAAGGAACUGGGUGCCUCCUUCCGUCAAAUAUCAGGAAUGGAAAGAACUGAGCCUGGUCGGCUGAGGCCAGUCCUGUCCUGUCAGGGUCGAGAUUGCACGCGGGUCACUCAUUCCCACUCAGGCCCGCGCUCCCUGGGAGGACCCUCGUAAUUUAUGCUCUGCCCUAGAGCCGCUUUCCUGGUAGGAUCCUUUCAUGGCGUCUUCCCAGGACCUCCUGCCAGCUCCCAUUGGGAGUUUUGGGUCCCCUCCACCCCAGUAGGUGCAUACUUCUGCCCUCCCCAGCCCCAGCUCACACCCCCCAACACCCCCAAGCUGGUGAGUGAGGUGGAGGAGCUGUACAAGUCCAUCACAGCGCUGCGGGAGAAGCUUCUACAAGCGGAGCAGUCCCUGCGCAACCUCAAGGACAUCCACAUGAGCCUGGAGAAGGACGUCACUGCCAUGACCAACAGUCUCUUCAUCGACCGCCAGAAGUGCAUGGCCCAUCGUACUUGCUACCCCACCAUUCUGCAGCUGGCUGGCUACCAGUGAGCAGCGGCACGGUGCUUCCCCCCAAUCCCCCAAAUAAACAGUGCGUUAGCUUUCUGCA